rnacentral:rRNA from 1 species
AACGUAGGUCACAAGCGUUGUCCGGAAUUACUGGGUGUAAAGGGAGCGCAGGCGGGCGAUCAAGUUGGAAGUGAAAUCCAUGGGCUCAACCCAUAAACUGCUUUCAAAACUGAUUGUCUUGAGUAGUGCAGAGGUAGGCGGAAUUCCCGGUGUAGCGGUGGAAUGCGUAGAUAUCGGGAGGAACACCAGUGGCGAAGGCGGCCUACUGGGCACCAACUGACGCUGAGGCUCGAAAGUGUGGGUAGCAAACAGG